rnacentral:rRNA from 1 species
GAUGAACGCUGUCUACAGGCUUAACACAUGCAAGUCGAGGGGAAACGACGGGGAAGCUUGCUUCCCCGGGCGUCGACCGGCGCACGGGUGAGUAACGCGUAUCCAACCUGCCUCUGACUGAGGGAUAACCCGUCGAAAGUCGGCCUACUACCUCAUGGCAUCGUCUGCGGGCAUCCAACGACAAUUAAAGCUUUCAUCGGUCAGGGGUGGGGAUGCGUCUGAUUAGCUUAUUGGCGAGGUAACGGCCCACCAAGGCUACGAUCAGUAGGGGUUCUGAGAGGAAGGUCCCCCACAUUGGAACUGAGACACGGUCCAAACUCCUACGGGAGGCAGCAGUGAGGAAUAUUGGUCAAGGGGCGGGAGCCUGAACCAGCCAAGUAGCGUGCAGGAGGACGGCCCUAUGGGUUGUAAACUGCUUUGAUGCGGGGAUAAAGUGAGGGACGUGUCCUUCAUUGCAGGUACCGCAUGAAUAAGGACCGGCUAAUUCCGUG